GGGUUUAUUGUUGCUGUGGUUACAGACACUUGAGCUGGGAAGAAUAAAAGGAGUUCAGAUAUGUUUAUAUGAACUCUUAUGACAUGCAUAUGUAAAUGCAUAUCCUUUAGAAGGAGUACUUUAAUCACAAUAGGAAUGCAUAUGUUGAUGUGCUGGCUGCAUUGUGGUGUAUGAGUUUUUUCUUAUGAAAAUAUCAGAUUUGAUUGUAAAGGUUAAAGAAAAGCAGGAUAAAACAACAAAUGUAGGAAUAAACGUUUCUGUAAUAUUGUCUUCUACCCCAUGGAGUAAAAGAUAAUGAGGUCUAUGUAUGGCUGCAUUAGCUGGUCAGGAGUGUGUAGCCAGGAUCAGAAUCUUUUGUUUGAAGAAGGCUAGAGAUAGUUUUAUGUAGCGUGAAUGUUGAGUAUAUCUUAGAUAUUUGAGCAUGUGGUUUUAUUUUCCCUUUGUUUUGUUGAGGUCUUAAAACUCUCUGUUACCCUUUGGAGAAUGUCCAAAAGGCACUAAAGAGAGAAGACACAAGAAAGGACAUACUUGAUGCCUACUUCUAUGGCAUGACCUCGGUGCCAAAGAGGAAGGAGAAGACCAUGGGCAGAAUAGAGCAUGAAAGAGUUUUUGUUUGGGUAACAACAGUGUGAGGUGAAAUCUUUUCUUCUCCAGCCAGAGUUUUGUUGUACGCAUUUUCUGUAUUUGCUGUUUUCCCUGCACAGCUUCAGCUCAUUAUUUGAAGGGACUGAAAACUGUAACUUGUCCUAGCACCAGAUCUCUCUAAGAUGCUUCAGGAAUUGUCCGACAGGCAUGUUGCCAAUGAAGAUGCUCAGUUUCAAUACCAACCUGUUUGUGUGUGGAAUGCAGCUAUGACAAGACAGUACAAACUACAUGCCACACAAUUAAAGAUCUGUUGCAAUUCCCA